CGCUGGCGGCAGGCCUAACACAUGCAAGUCGAGCGGAUGAAAGGAGCUUGCUCCUGGAUUCAGCGGCGGACGGGUGAGUAAUGCCUAGGAAUCUGCCUGGUAGUGGGGGACAACGUUUCGAAAGGAACGCUAAUACCGCAUACGUCCUACGGGAGAAAGCAGGGGACCUUCGGGCCUUGCGCUAUCAGAUGAGCCUAGGUCGGAUUAGCUAGUUGGUGAGGUAAUGGCUCACCAAGGCGACGAUCCGUAACUGGUCUGAGAGGAUGAUCAGUCACACUGGAACUGAGACACGGUCCAGACUCCUACGGGAGGCAGCAGUGGGGAAUAUUGGACAAUGGGCGAAAGCCUGAUCCAGCCAUGCCGCGUGUGUGAAGAAGGUCUUCGGAUUGUAAAGCACUUUAAGUUGGGAGGAAGGGUUGUAGAUUAAUACUCUGCAAUUUUGACGUUACCGACAGAAUAAGCACCGGCU
rnacentral:rRNA from 1 species